AUAGCGUAUAUUAAAGUUGUUGCAGUUAAAAAGCUCGUAGUUGAACUUCAGACCUGGCCGGGCGGUCUGCCUCACGGUAUGUACUGUCUGGCUGGGUCUUACCUCUUGGUGAGCCGGCAUGCCCUUCACUGGGUGUGUCGGGGAACCAGGACUUUUACCUUGAGAAAAUUAGAGUGUUCAAAGCAGGCCUAUGCCCGAAUACAUUAGCAUGGAAUAAUAAAACAGGACGUGCGGUUCUAUUUUGUUGGUUUCUAGAAUUGCCGUAAUGAUUAAUAGGGAUAGUUGGGGGCAUUAGUAUUCAGUUGCUAGAGGUGAAAUUCUUGGAUUUACUGAAGACUAACUACUG
rnacentral:rRNA from 1 species